GACAAACGCUGGCGGUGUGCUUAACACAUGCAAGUCGAACGGUAAGGCCCUUUCGGGGGUACACGAGUGGCGAACGGGUGAGUAACACGUGAGUAACCUGCCCUCAUCUCUGGGAUAACAGUCGGAAACGGUUGCUAAUACUGGAUAUGAGCCUGCAAGGCAUCUUGUGGGUUGGAAAGAUUUUUUGGUUGGGGAUGGACUCGCGGCCUAUCAGCUUGUUGGUGAGGUAGUGGCUCACCAAGGCUUCGACGGGUAGCCGGCCUGAGAGGGCGACCGGCCACAUUGGGACUGAGAUACGGCCCAAACUCCUACGGGAGGCAGCAGUGGGGAAUAUUGCACAAUGGACGGAAGUCUGAUGCAGCAACGCCGCGUGCGGGAUGACGGCCUUCGGGUUGUAAACCGCUUUCAAUUGUGACGAAGCUUUUUGUGACGGUAGCAGUAGAAGAAGCACCGGCUAACUACGUG
rnacentral:rRNA from 1 species